rnacentral:tRNA from 1 species
GGGUCAUUAGUUCAAUUGGCAGAACACCGGCCUCCAAAGCCGGGUGUUGGUGGUUCGAGUCCAUCAUGGCCCG